UCCAGAUCAACUUUCGAUGCCACUUACUGCGCCUACCAUGGUGACCACGGGUAACGGGGAACCAGGGUUCGAUUCCG
rnacentral:rRNA from 1 species